rnacentral:lncRNA from 1 species
GAUAGCUGGGAGACUGGAUUCCUGGUAAGCCCGGGACCCCACGGGCAGCCCUUCAGGUGUUAUAUCAGAAAUAACUCGGGGAUUCCAGAGCCACCUCCACAGUCUGUCGCAGGAGCUGUGAGCGGGGUAGGACCGGCGUGUCUGACCGGGCGCUCUGAGCGUGCCGCACAAAAUCCCUGCCGCAUGAAGCUCUUGGGGGCUGAUUUGGACCUCAGCCCGCGAGGCCCGAUCUGCGGCCUUGCCAUCCUCUCAGGAAUGAAGCAUCGCCCCCCAGCAGAAGACCUUUUGAAUGGCUCCUUGUGAAUGAACCCAAUCAAGACUUCUGGCAGCAUGUUCAUCCCUGGGAAGAGGGAUGCCAUAGCCCCAUGCUUUACAGAGGAGGAAACUGUGGCAGGGCUCGUCUAGAGCUAGAAUCAGCUCCGACACUAACUGCAGAGUUAGAGGCAAUGCCAGGGUCAGGAGAGGAGCCAGCUG